UACAAUCUCCACCUCCCAGGUUAAAGCAAUUCUCCUGCCUCAACCUCCUGAGUAGCUGGAAUUACAGGUGCCUGCCACCACACCUGGAUAAUUUUUGUAUUUUUAGUAGACACGGGGUUUCGCCAUGUUGGCCAGGGUGGUCUUGAACUCCUGACCUUGCAAUUUGCCUGCCUCGGCCUCCCAAAGUGCUGGAAUUACAGGCGUGAGCCACCCUGCCUGGCCGACAGGCUUUUUAUGUAGUAUCCCAGGGCUCCCAAAGAGAGCAUGCCAGGAGAUGGGAGUGGCAACAUCUUUUAAGGCGUGGGCCAAAGCAUCAUUCCUGCCACAUUCUACUGGUCAAAGCAGACCCAGAGCUUGCUUGGAUUCAAGGCGAGAUGACUGAGACCCCCACCUCUCCAUGGCAGGAGUAUAAAGAAUUUGUGGCCAUUCUUGAAGCCACCACAGUUGGAAAAUCCUGGAGCCCAGAAAGGUGAAGCAAACUGCCUGAGGUCAAGCUCAUAAUGUGAAGUGGAGCUGCAAUGUCUACUCAAGAGUGUCUGACAUCUGCACUUUUUACUCUGCCAGGUAAGAAGACCCUCACCAGAUGUGGCCCCUCACUCCUGGACUUCCAAGCCUCCAGAAUCAUGAACUAAAUACAUUUCUAUUUGUUAUAAAUUACUCAGCCUCAGGUAUUGCUAGAGCAGUAGAAAACAGACUGAGAAAGGCUGUGUCUCCCUCCUCAGACUGAAGGAUCUUUGUGAUCAGAUGCUGUGUCUAUAUCCUUUGUUCAUUUGUUUGAUAUUUGCUGAGGACCUUUUAAGUGCCAGGCACUAUUCUAGAUUCAGAAUACUAUGUUGAAAAGACAGACAAAACCACUGGUCUCAUGGAACUUACAAGUUAGUUGCGACAAAUGACAAUAAACAACAAACAAUUUUAGGUUACAAUAAGUACUAAGAAGCAAAUAAAAGCAGCAUAAUCGUCAUGGUAGGAGUGGGGUGUUAACUGAAAUGUGUGACUGAGGCAAGAGUCUCAAUCAAUCAAGGUUUAUUAAGCCAGAGCUUGAGAAUAUGUCUUGGAAAAACGCAAGUCAUAGAUGCAUCUGUGGCUGUUUUUUCCAGAAAUGUUUUUUUUUUUUUUUUCAGGAGGCUUAGUAUUUAUAUACUUUCUGAAAGGGAGGUUUGGUAAGUGAAAGAAUGAUUGAUCUAAUCUUGUCUUUGUUCUGUAUCUGCAAAGAUAAGCAGUAUCACUGUGAAAUCUAACAGACUUUAGUUUUAGGAGCUACACUUAGAUUGCAGCCCUAAAGUUGUAAUUGACAUGUCCUUGUCUUGUGGGAGGAUAUGCAUCUUGAAAGUUUUCAAAAGCAUCUGGAGAUGCUAGAGGCCUUUUGCCUUUCUGUGGGGAUCUGGCUAAUGGAUAACGCUUUGACACAAGGUUGUGGAGUGACAGCUAUUCAUCUGGGGAAAAGAUGGCAGUGUUGGGUCACUCAGUCUCCGAGGCUUAACUUUUUCUUUGGCAUAAUGAGUUUGGGGGUCCUGAGAUUUUUUUAAUUUUCUCUUACUGGGUGUACGUGUCUAUUUCAACUGGAAUGGUUUGGGCAGCCUCUCUGAGCAGGGGCUUCUUAUGUAUUUAUUUAUUUAUUUUUGAGACAGAGUUUUGCUCUGUUGCCCAGGUUGGAGUGUAGCGGUGCAAUCUCAGCUCACUGCAACCUCUGCCUCCCGGGUUCAAGUGAUUCUCCUGCCUCAGCCUCUGAGUAGCUGGGACUACAGGCACACACCACCAUACCUGGUUAAUGUUUUGUAUUUUUAGUAGAGAUGGGGUUUUACCAUGUUGACCAGGCUAGUCUCAAACUCCUGGCCUCAAGUGAUCUGCCCACCUCAGCCUCCCAAAGUGCUGGGAUUAUAGGCAUGAGCCACCGCGCCCAGCCAGAGGCUUCUGAGAUGAGACUUGAAUGAUGAAAAUGAGCCAGCUAUGGGAGGAAGGUCUGGGUGAAAAGCAAUUCUUUCAGGCAGAACUGACUGCAAGUGUGAAGACCAUGAGAUAGGAGAGAGGAAAAGAAAGAAGGUCAGUGUGUCUGGACUUAGUGCGUGAAGGGGGUGGCACAAAGAUGAAUGAGAAAUGUUGGUUCAGGCAGUAUGGAGAUCAGGCAGGGCCUUGCAGGUCACCAGGAAUAGAAGCUUGCAGAGAAUGGGCUGUGACUCCUAUCCUAGGGGGUCUCCCUGAACCCCUGAACUUUCUAUGGUUUCUCUAUAAUAUUCUGAUGGGUAUCUGAACAUCUGAAUGUAAGGACAUUGUCCCCUGUCUCAUAUUCCUCUGCCCAGGACACAGAGCUCUGCUGACCCCAAGCAAUAAUGGAAGAAGUAUCCUGCCCAUGCCCUUUCUGCAGCUGCCUCUGGGUGCAGACCCUCUCCGUACCCUUUCCCAGCUUUGUUAUUGCAGACUUGGUCCCCAGAGCUCAGCCACUCACUUCCUGCUCUUUAGCACAAUCUUAGUGAAGCCAAAGAGCAAAAGACCUCCUUAAUCCCAACUCUGGAUUUACAACAGGUGCCUGCAAAGCAUGCAGCCUGGCAGACCCAGAAGAUGCAGCCCAUCUUCAGCCUGUCUUCCAGACCUGGCAGUCAUCACUGGAAGCCCCAGUGUCUCUUCUCUGCCCCUACAGCUCAGACAACCUACAACAAACGUCAGUGAAGACCUGUCCUUGUCACGUCCCCCGCAAAUGGGCUGUUAAAAGGCCAGGUUGGGAAGUCACAAGGAUCCAUUGUUGAAAUCUGGCAAGUUAUUUAAGUUCUCAGUUCCUCAGUUUCCCCAUCUGUAAAACAGAGAUAAUAGUAUAUAGUUUUCAGGGUUGAAAUCAGAUCAUAACUACUUGGCUCCAUAUGUUAAAAGGGGUAAAAAUGAUUAUGCUUACUAUGUGCUGGACACUGUGCUUAGUAAUAUUUAAUUAUCAUAGCCAUCAUAGCUCAAUGAGGAAGGUGCAUUAGAAUCCUCAUUUCUCAAAUGAAGACCCUGAGGUGCAGAGAGGCCACACAACUCUUCAAGUAUGCCACCUACCAGGUAGUGGUUCUCAGCCAGGUUUGGUACUGUCUCCCUAGGGGACAUGUUAAAACAUGGGUGUGUGCUUUUGGGUUGUCAUGCUGGCUGGAAACACUGGGGUUGGAAGAGGGGGCAGGAAGGAUUCCUAGUAAGUGUGCCCCCUUGGCAAUGUAUGGCUCUUAUCAUGUGUUGAAUAGUCCUACUCAGGAAAAAUUAAUCAGCCUCUGUUUUGAGAAACACUAAUUACAGCACAAUCCCACAUUAACAGAAAAGGAACUGAGUCCCAAAUAAAGUGAUGAGUCCAGAUUCACUUGGUGCAUCAGGCCAGAAGUAGGACAAGAGCCAAGCCCCUAUCUUAACCACCAAUCUUUACCACGUGGGGGCCCAAGCCAGAUUGUGGACCACCUGUAGGGGCAGGCCAGUUGGCAGCAGUGGGUUGGUGCUUCCUCUCAAAAAUCCAUUGGGAAUGGCCCUGUGAUUUCCCCUUCCCAGCCUGAGGAAAACUUGCCCCCCUCCACCCUCUAUCCCCUGGCUAGAAAGAUGUUCUUAGUUAUCUUUGAUUGGUUUCUCAGAUUUCCAUUGCCCAAGGCCAAUUUCCACAAAGGGAAGGUGUCAAUAAUUACAUUUCUGCUCUCCAUACCCUGUAAUUAAUAAUUGCGAUUAAUCUGGCACACUUAGUCAAAUAUUGCAGGUCCUAAUUGGCUGCCGUGCCUUUCUUCUUCUGAUUGAGACAAUCCUAUUCUUGGCAGUUCUGCAGCCAGCUGCGGUGAACUCAGCAGGACCUGUCAAAUGCUUCUGCUUGGCAAUUUGCAUGACAUUUUGGGCGGCAAAGCAGAGUAGAGGGGUGAGGUAGCUGGGCCUUAUGCGUUGGGGCAGAGGGGCUGAGAUUAGGAAGCCCCUGGGUCCUGGUCAAGGUGUUGGAAUAGAUCUGUUUCACCCUUAACUUGCCCUGAUCAGACAGAGCACCUCGGGGUUUAUUUCAGUUCCAGAUGCAAGGUAGCCCUGCCCUCUCCUUUCACACUGGAUGUGAGAGGGUUUAAGGGGAGGUAGUCUGGUUCCCUCCUCCUCUUGUCUUCUUGUCCCAGGGGGCAGGAAGUUUACUUCCUAUCGGGUGGUAAAAACAAAACAAAACAAAACACACCAUUGUAACCCUGGCCUCUGUCAAUUCAUCUCUCAGGCCAGAGGUAUGUACUGCAGCAUCCAGUCCCUAGGAGGUCUGGGUUGGGGAAUAUCAGAUUGUAAGGGAGGGAAAACAAUCUUUCCUCUAUGCAUUUAGGUUUGCUAACUGGAACUCUGCAAAUUAAACUGAUGAAAGAUUAACAAGAGGAAAACAGAAAUUUAUUUUAGGCCAUACUUGCAUUGCUAUAAAGAAAUGCCUGAGACUGGGUAAUCUAUAAAGAGAUUUAAUUGGCUUAUGGUUCUGCAGGCUGUACAGGAAGCAUAGUGGCAUCUGCUUCUGUGGAGACCUCAAGAAGUUUCCAAUCGCAGCAGAAGGCCAAGGGCUAGCAGGCAUGUCACAAGGUGAAAGCAAGAGCAAGAGAGAGCGAGGGAGGAGGUGCCACACAGUUUUAAACGACCAGAUCUCUUGAGAACUCUGAGAUCUCACUUAUCACCAAAGGGAUGGCCCAAGCCAUUCAUGACAGGUCUGCCCCCAUGAUUCAAACAACUACUACCAGGAUGCACCUCCAAGACUGGGGAUUACAUUUCAACAUGAGAUUUGGGUGGGGACAAAUAUCCAAAGUGUAUCAUUUAUUAAUGCAUGCAUUGUGCAUACACCUGGGAGAAACUCGGUGGUGAGUACCUCAGAGGGGUGUUUAGAACUUGGACUUGCAUUGCAUCUUAGCAAAGAACAAUAGUUUUGCAGAGAAGUGACAAGACAAAGGAAAAUUCCUUCCAGCUUCUAGGGGAGACAAAUUGAUGGAAGGCAAAUAUAUGGGGAAAGAAACAGUAGAUAAGAGCUAGUUAGUAAGGUUUGUCUGUGUAUAUGCUUUCUUCUAUAUUAUCUUCUUCCUGGUAUAAGAAGCUUUUGUGUAUAUGCAUAUGUGUGCCUGUGUUGGGGGGCUAUGGGGUUGGGGCACUUUUACAAGGGAAUUUAUGUUCUGUUUUUAUGUAGUAGAAGGAGUCCAGAGAGCUUGUCCUGUGUCUGCCUUUUCAUUAUUGCAUUCAGCUCAAAAUAAUCCUCAUAUACCUGAGUGGCAUGUUUUGGCACGGCGUACUCUGAAUUCCUUUAAAAUAAAUCCCCUGUCUUCAAGUUUCUUCCUGAGAUUUCCUUGCCAUUCCUAAUUACAGGUCUGAAAUUCUACCAUUGUAGGUUCAUUUCUUUGGGACCUAGCAGUGGUGGGGGUAGUGGGUCCCCCUUUUCUGAGGUUCCUAAUUGUAUCAGUUAGGAUCCUUUUUAUUGUAAAUAACAGGACACUUAGCUUGGUAGCAUAACAAUUUAUUGGCCUAAUGAUUGAAAAGUUUGUAGAGACUCUGGCUUCAGGCAUGGUUUGAUCCAGGGGUUCCCAUUGUCAGAAGGGCUCUGGCUCCAUUUCUCUUUGAGUUCCUUGGCUCUGCUCUACUUCUAGGCCAGUUUUCUCUUCUGGCCACCACACUCUUCCCCACCACCAUAGUGCCUACAAAACUAUCUGGACACACACAGCUUCUCUUCUGGGAUGUUCCUGCAGAAGAAAAGGAAGUAUCUCUGGUGAAGCCCCUAGCAAACAUCUCACAACUCAUUGACCUAGAUUGAAUUUUGUGUUCCUCUCACUUAACUCCCCCAAUAAAUCUCUGUGGUUCAAGAGGGGUAUGCUGACUCCCUCAAUCCCCUCAGAGUCCAGCUUAAAGUCAUCACACCCAAACCACAUGGGAGACAAAGGAGGAGGAGCAGUGACCCAAAGGAAUGUCUGGUGCUGUUGGUCAGGAGGGCAGGGAAAAAUGCGUCAGGAAACCACCAGUGAAUAUCCACAUGUCCACUGAAAAUCGGUUACCCCAGGGCAGAAUCAUCACAUUUAUUACAUAGCAUGGGAGUUGGCAAAAUAUGGCCCUUGGACCAAAGCACAUGAUUUUAUAGGUAGUUUUAUCUGAGCACAGCUAGGCUCAUUUUUUUUGCAUAUUGUCAAUGGCUGCUUUCAUACUACAACAGCAGAGUUGAGUAGUCAUGACAGAUAACUUAUGGCCUAUAAAUGUAAAGUAUUUGCUUGCUAGCCCUUUAGAGAAAGAGUUGGCUGGCCCCUGAUGGAAUGUCAGAGCUAGAAAGGGAAAUCAGACAUUAUCUAGUCCUAUACCUUUCCUGUCACAGUCAGAACUAUCCCUAGAAAUUUAAAUCCUGGUCCCAGAGGGAGAGCAUGACUUGCUGCUGAGGCUGAAUGGGGGUUAGAACUCUGUUUUUUGUUUGUUAGUUUUGUUUUUUUUUUUUUUUCAUGAGCCAACAUCUCAGCUGUGAAGUACACUCAGAGCAGUUGAGGACCUAGAUUGAGGUGGGAAAGUGGCCGAGGGUGUCUGGGAGAGGAGACUGGGGAUUCACAAGGCACCAAGAGCAGCUCUCACCUUUCCCACCUUCACCAGAGGCAGCUGGGCAUCGAGCAGGCCAUGGUAGGGUGUCCAGUUGAGACACUGAGGCUGGGAAGGUAGUCAGGACAUUCCUCACCUUCAGAACCUUAUCUCCCAGGAGAGAGACAGCAUUUGCUCAGGCCUGACCCCCACCAGAUCUGCAGCCAGAUCCCAGCCCCUGGCCUCUGUUAGCUCCACAGUGGGUGCCUUGGAAAAAGGAGCAGAGUUUGCAUUUUUAUGACCUUAUCUCACAUGCAUCCAGCUGUGUGUGUGGAUGAGUUCAAGGGCUACAGGCUUUCUGUAGUUCCUUUACUUAGAUGUAGGAUUCCAUGCAACUGAAAUCCACGGACAAGCAGGAUUCCUCAGUAAUAGCAUUAGCUAACAUGUAUAGAGCGCCUACCUGUGCCAGGUGCUAUUCCAGCCCCUUACCAGGAUUCAUUUACUCCCUAAGGGAUGGCCCAUAUCAUCCUAUGAGUCAGAUAUGAACAUAAGCCCAAUUUACAGAGGAUAAAAUGAAGGCUGGAGAGGUUAAGGAACUUGUCCCAGGUCCCACAGCAUGUGUCAGUUGAGGCCUCUGGGGAGUAGAUGCUAAGAUUUAUUGAGGUUUAUUGGAAGUAUUCCUGUGAAAAAAAUAUAAAAGGGGGAGAAAGUAGAAAUGGAGAGGGAAAACCUUCAGACUAGAAUAUAGACCUGAAACCUGGGAAAGGAAAAGGAGCUGGGAGAGCCUCAGACCACUGAGUAGCUCAGACAGUCUCAGCCAGCCUGGUGGGGCACUCUGGAGCAGAGACAGCCCAUUAGAGGGCCUGGCAUUGGGCAGGCAUGGCCAGGCCCUUGUACUCCUACUGGUCUCUGUCAUUGGCUGGGACUGAUAGGGAAGAAUUGGCCUUGGCUUUAGAGCCAAGGUGGACCCUGAAGGUGCUGGUGUUGGAGGCUGUCAGCAACUGCCCUCUUAGAGCUGAACAGCAAAUUCCUUUUUGAAAGGGAAUCCGAGAAGCCUGCCUUUGUGGCCACCACAUAGCUAGCUAAUGAACCAAGAUCCAAACUCCAGCAGUCUGGGACCGGAUGCUGGUGUAGUUAAUGCCUCUGCUUCACCCCUUGGUGGAUAGUGUGGGGCCCUAUCAGGAACACUGAGCCAAUGCUAGCACAGGGUGUCCUGGAUCUGCCACUAUCAACAACUAUGCAUCUUUGGGCAAGUCACCCCAUUCAUUGAUUCAUUCAUUGAAACACUGAGCAUUUGCUGGGUGUCAAGUCCUGUGAUUAAUAAAAUGCAGGCCAUGGCUUCAUGGAGCCCUUCACAUGGAGAUCAAGGACCACAAUGGCCCACAGCAAUGCUGAACAAUAUAAUACGGGCAGUGAUGGAGGGCCCUCAGGUCAUGAUGGAGUACAGAGAUAUGGGUGCCAUCAUGGGCCUCAACUUUAUCUGAAACAGGGAGUGGUUGGACUCAAGGAACUCUAAGGUCCCUUUCUACUCUAUAAAAUCAGUUUCAGGUCAAAUAUGGGGAAUCACAGGAUCUGCUCCAACAGAUCAAGGGUCUGGAACUAGGGUAUAGUACAGCUGGGAGAACCCAACCUGGUCUGUGCAAGCCCAGACUCAGGCACAGCUGCCCCAUCCUACUUCUUGCCCAGGUGGUCUGCUCUAUUUCUGAGUUGUCUCUUCAGUGGGCUCUCAGCAAAUGAUUGGCUUCAGGCUGGAGUUCAUGCUCCUGGGAUUUGAACACAAUGCCUUUGCUGCUCCAGACCCCAGGGCAGGUCCUCCAUCUUUGCAUUUAUUCAAACACAGCUGGGCCAGGAGUCCAGGCUGAGAACCAGGCCAGCCGGGCUGGAACCCUCAGUUAAACAGUAGACAUUCAUCAACUGACGGAUGAGUCCUAGCAAAAUCAGCAUACUCAUUUAUAAAGCCAAUCACCCAGAAUUUUCUGAGUCCUUUUCCUCACCCAGCCAUGCCCAGACACAUGACCUUGAAGAAGUCUGUUAUCUUGCUACAAAUUAUUACCAGGAAAGUCUAUGGCCAAUUAAACAAGCAAAUGUUCCUCUUGCUCUUUUUAUUUUCGUUCUCUUAAAUAAGCUCUGGCCUGACCUGCAGGAGAAGAUGCUGGACUCUCUCCUGCUCUCUUCAUCAGACUAAACAUUUUUCCCCAUAACACAGACUCCAGAGCUUGGUUAUUAAAUCAGCAAAACCCAAAAGCUCCCAAGAUAAACUCCUGAUGAUAUGCUAAUAGCAAUUACUCUGGAGAAUUUCAAUCGGUGCAAAUCACCAGGUAAAUGUCAGCAGCAGCAAGCAUCCUGGCUAAAACAACCCAAUGGGUAAUUUGCCAGUUUAUUGUUCAGAAACGAAAACGUGAAUGCAACGGGGCUCUGGUGGUCAAUGAAAAAGCAUUGAAAGUGGAAAACCUUUCCCUUGCCUUAGCCAGAGAAAGUCCCAGAAAAACAACCCUGGUG
rnacentral:lncRNA from 10 species